CUUUGGACUUACGAGAAUUGGUCAACUGGGCCUAUAAUACAAUUUAUUGAAAUGCAUUAUAAUUGCCUUCUUCUUCCCAACGUUGAUGAAAGAAACAGCCGUCGAGGGUUUCUGCCAUUGAUGAGUUUGAGCUCAUGUUUAUCCAACUGAGUAUGGAGCUUUGACUUGGUUAUGAGGGUCGUUUCCGAGCAAUCUCUGGUGGCAGCCGCCUAUUGUGUUGACUCGCAUUCCGAUAUUAUAUUCUCACCUGCUAUGGAAACCAGAACGUUAUGUAACUCGGAUGCAUUUAACGUUUCAAUUAAAUCCAUCUCCCCCACUCCUUACAUGAUUUCUCAUUCAUUGCGUCUCUCUUUCUCCCAGUCGUUGAGUCUGUAGCUAUAAAUAGGUGAUUUUGUAUACCUAAAAUUCAUCAUUUCAUUCCUCACUAAGAUGGAUUUUUUUCUCUGUUCAUGUGACUGAUAACGCUCCGCCUUGGGAAGAACAUAAAUUCACCGCAUCUAUGCGUUUCAAGAUAUCCAUCGAUGCCUCUAUGACUUAUCAUGGUCAGCUUCCGUAUCAACUAGACGUGAGUCGCAUAAGGAUUGUCUGUGAGCAGAAGUACUCAAUCCUGAGGACACAAAAGUUUCUUCGAUGAACUUCCCAUAUUUCUUAAGAUCAGCUGUGGAUUAUUUUAGAUGAUUUUUCUCUCUUGGUUUCUGAAGAUAUGUUCGUAUUCUUUGUGUGUUUUAUCUCUCACUAGGUCCCCGAUCUUGAUGUCUAUUGCUACCUUGAGCCUUUCUACAGUGACCACAGAAAAGUUACGCUAAAGCUAUCUGAUGGGAGGUUUUUGUUGACGAAAUCAUUGAGGAACUUUAACAAGGACUGCAAUACCACGCUUUAAGUAAAGGAUGUUUUAGUAACAUCAACUUAUGUCCAUAUAAAUUGUGGAAGCAAGUUUGCAAAGAAUGCAUCAUAUCUGUCUACAAUGUGUCCCCGUAUCUUGCUCUCUGGACCAGCUGAUUAUUUUACGGCUUUGAAAUUUAUCAGAAAAUAUUAGCAAAAGCACUUGCGAAAUAUAUAUUGGGGACAAAUUGAUUAUUCUUGACAGCCUCAUAUUACUUGGGGGAUCAACAGCCAAGGAAGCAAAUUUUACCAAAGGAAGUUCGUGGCGUGGAAGAUUGCAUGUGCAUGUUAAACGAGCGGUACAUCUGGAUGAUAUAACAGGUGGAUCAAGAUUGACUUCUCAGACUGUUAAGAAGUACCAACUACAACCUCUAAAAGUUACACCUUUAAAACAAGUAUGGUCAUUUAGUUUUCAUUUCUUUGUCGCUUUCUAUUUUACAUUAUAAAGAUACUUAUUUUACCAA